rnacentral:misc_RNA from 1 species
GGCGAGCGGAUAGCCGAUCACCAGGCACGACGCGGUGACGACGACCCCGAACCACAGCGUGGUGGUGAGGUAGGAGCGGUAGAACGCGUCGACGAAGAGCUGGCGGUAGCUGGCGAGGCUCGCCAGCGCGUCCAGCGGGUAGCCCUCGGUGAACGAGACGGCGAGCAGCAGCAGCAGCG